GUCGUUUUAUGGUUAGAGACGAUUAAAGGAGAGAGCUUUACCUUUCGAUUUAGCUUCUUGCCUUGCUCGAUUCCCGAUUCUAGAUCUAUACUCUCUCCUUUAUCGAUCAUCAUUUAAUCGAACCAAUCCUGGAAACUCAAGAGAAGACCACGACACCGUCUCUGGUCACUUCUCCACCGUCGGCGUUGUCGCGAAACCAGUUAGAGAGCAUGAAUGAACUAGGUGAACCAGAAUUUGUUUUUAAUAUGCAAGGCCAAGGAGCUGAUAGUCUGUAGAAUGAAUGAUUGAGAUACAAAGGUUCAUGCGGGUCAAGGAGAGUGAUAUUGUCUACUUCUAGUUUUCUGUUUUUAUGCCAUGAACUUGUUAGGCAAUCCGGUUUGUCAAUUUGUCUUUUUUCUUGGAUUUGAAUCAUGUGUAAUGGAUGUUUAAGACUUUCCUAUUUAAAUGCUUUAAGUUUUGUUCUGUUCUA